UCCUCUCCCCAACCUUUUCUCCACAAUAUGCUGCCCCACCAGGGGACAAGGAGGGAGUACCUCGGCACAAAAGGCAUUUCCACCCUCUCCUCAAUCUCCUGUGGUCACAGUAACCUCUGUGGGGGAUGAGAGCAUCUCUCCCCACCUCAGGUCUCUCCCGGCCUGGCUGACACCACCCCACGACACUAUGUCCACCCCACGCACGUAUACAGUGCAGGGACGAAAUCCGGGACGAAAUCCGGGUCACUUGAGGAAGCAAGCGGAGAGACUGCAGCAGCCCGGCUCUGCCGCGGGGCAUGGGAAGCCUUUCCAGCGCAACCACCCUCCACUGUCUCUGCUGGACCUCCACCUGGCUCCUCCCUGUCUCCUCUUGGUGGCUUUGCUCCGAGGGUCUCCCGGGGUGACAGUCCGCCGAGCCAAGGAGUUUUCCUGUACAAUCAAGAGAAUGAGAAACGUCUGGGAUUUUCUCUGAGAGACAGAAAAAUUCUUCUGCAACCCCUGGAUUCCAGCAGUUAAAGCUUCAAAAAACACAACCCAGCAACUGAGAACCAUGCUCUGAAAUACUGGAAAAGCCCCAAUACUGCUGAGAGAGACUCUAGAGACUUUAUGGCUCUGUGUUGAAAGGUAUGUACAGGCACUGUGGAUUUCUGGAUAUUCACCAUGUCAGUACUACUGGGACAAAAGGAGACAACUCAGCAAAACAAAGCUGUUCACAUCAUCUCCAACAGCAAGACUCUUUAACAGCAGUAUCAAAUAUAGUACAACUCUGAGCACUACCAUUAGCUGAGGCAACACUCAUAUUUUACAGGGCACAAUUUGACUUUUGUUUAUAUUUUUACAUUGAAGAUGGCACUUAUGAAAUAUGGAAUUCCUCCAGGGAGAAAACCUGGGCAGGAACAGAGCAACAUCUGUCAUGUGCAGACAGCCCAGGCACACACCACUUGUGAUUGGGGAGGGGCUACCUGAAGAAAGUGAGACUGGAAAUCAUUUCCCACAGCCUGGGAUGUUACUGGUGGAAGCUGAGAGCCAGACUCGGCUCUGGUGGUGAUUGUAGCCUGGUACUGGAGGCAGUGAAGCUCAUCCCACACUGCCAUUGCCAGCUUUCUCUCCACACAUUUCAAUUCAGUUUCUCCAGAGUGAAAUCUGCAAGUUUCACCAAAAUACACAGCUGCACAGAGAAGAGGAAUCUUAUUGUCCUUACUGAGGAGUGGCCCACAGCAUUCAAUCCUUGUUGGCAAUACAGGAGAGGAAGAUUCUGCACAUCUUGCUUGGUGCCUGCACUUUAUAGGACACGAAAGACCUCACUCAUAGGACCCAAGACAGUAUGAAGCGGGGCCUUGCAGACCUGCUGCUCACACAGCUGUUUUUUGGGGACUGUGGAUAAGGCUGAAGGGAGAUGCAUCUGUUUCAUAUUGGGCAACCAAAGGCCCCCGAUGAGGCACGGUUACUGGAAGCAUGGAAAGUAUUAGUUCAAGACUGGGCUAGAAAUGGAAGCAUGAUUGACUCUGUCCAAAUCCACUUCUCUCCAUCUCCCAUGUUCUCCCAGGUAUUUCAGUCUACUAUUCUCUGAGCGCAUGCCCCUACUUAACCUUACAGUUCUUAUGUACAAGCAUCCAGAGCGAUCACCUUGGCAAAGCCAACAGUGCCUAAGUUCUCUUUCCUUGUGUGAUACCAAAGCUAUUUCCUUCCUUGCUGUCAGGACAGGGUUGAGAACAAUUCUCUCUUCUGAAAAAGUAGCUACAGACACCUGCAAAAGCUGCACUAGAUAAAGGUCAAAUCUUGCAUUGCCAGACCUGCAUGAGGCCAGGACAGAACAGCAAGGGAUGUGGCAUGUGUGCCAGCAAAACUGUGCUGUGCCGAGAUUAGCGCAGCCGUGGCUGGAGUGCAGGAGAAAGGAGCCUUUGUAAGGCUCCCUGAAGUAGAACAAGAAGAGCAAGAAAUGCUGGGGAUUUGGGUUGAGGUGUUCUGAUAGAGUGGUGUCUGCUGUGCCGGCAGCAGAGCUCCUUGCUGAGACAGUAGGUGCUGCUCCAAGAAAAAUGCUGCUCUUCUCAGGUGACAGGGAAAAUCUUGUUUCUGGCCCCCCCAUUUAAUACAAACAUGCUAAACAUGGGCAGACCAGCCAUGUUCAUUUAAAAAAACAACAACCCCACAACCCAAUAGAUCCUGGUAAAACAGAGACAUUGAGAAGAGAACAAAAUCUCCUUGUCCAAGACAGGUAUUUUCUUAAUGAGGCCUAACCAUGGUAUUUCCAACCUUGUUUUCCCCCUCCCUUUCUGAGACAGCUCAACCUUUAAUGAUUUCUUACCUAAGCUGCUCGUUACUGUCCCACCACACACUGCUGGGGAGCGUGGGGGAUGACACACUUAGCCUUUGCAUCAAAGCCAUGAUGCUGACAGUGCAGUUUUCACUGUCAGCCAGGGAUGUUUGGUUUUCCUGGCAGAUCUUUUUUUAAACACACUUCAAACAACCUCCUUUCAUUUUCCCUGACAAAUCUCAGACGUUACCACACCCCCUUGUUUUCUGCCAUCCCUCAUGCUGCUUUUCCCUCACUGAUUCCCUCACUGCAGAAAGCACCGAGGCCUCAAAAAUUAUAUGAUGGGGGCUGGUUUCCUUUUGGCAAUUAACACUCACAAAUUAUUCCAGUAUGGUGGCGGUUUGCCCCUGAAAAUAACCUUGACCUAAGCAUUAGGCAGACGCAGCUGCACUUCCAGGUGCAAAGAGGAUUAUAAACCCACCCAGGUUUCCUGGAGAGGUGGGCAAACAGCUGAAGAAUUGACUAUCAGAGACUUUAAUUUUUGGGCUCCUAAGUGCAAGAGAGACAUGGUGCUCCUGGAGCAGGUCCAGCAGAGGGCAACAAGGAUAAUUGGGGGACUGGAGCUCCUCUUUUAUAAGGAAAGGUUGAGGGAGCUGGGCCUGUUGGGGCUUGAGAAGACUCAGAGGGGACCUGAUCAAUGUGUAUCAGUGUAUGAAGGGCGUCAAGGUUGGAGUCAGGCUCUUCACGGUGGUGCGAAGCAAUAGGACAACAAGCAAUGGGGCAGAAACUGGUGCACAGGAAGUUCCACCUGAACAUGAAGAAGAACUUCUUUACUGUGCAGAUGACCAGGCACUGGAACAGACUGUCCAGAGAGGGUGUGGAGUCUCCCUCACUGGAGAGGGAAUGCAAGAAUCCUCUGGAUGCAAUACCUGUGCCACGUGCUCUGGGAUGACCAUGAUACCAACCUGGCUGGAAUAUAAACUAACACAAUCUGAAGCAUUAGAAAGCAGGCAUUCUUUAUCUACGCAGGAUACAUAGAAGAAUAUCUCUAAAAACUUUUAUUCUCUGUUAUUUAUCAACCCUGCUUGAGCAGGGAGGUUGGACCAGAUGCCCCACUGUGGUACCUUCCUAUCUGACCUGUUCUGUGCUUCUGUGAUCUCUGCUACCCUAUCUGGACUGAAGUUUACGGAAAUGAUAAAUUAAAUCAGAAUAACCGCA